rnacentral:rRNA from 1 species
AGCAGCCGCGGUAAUUCCAGCUCCAAUAGCGUAUAUUAAAGUUGUUGCAGUUAAAAGCUCGUAGUUGAAUUUCGGGAUCAAAUUGUCGGUCGUGCCUCGGUACGCACUGGUAUUAUUGGUUCCUACCUUCUGAAGAACCGCGAUGUCAUUAAUUUGGUGUCGUGGGGAAUCAGGACUGUUACUUUGAAAAAAUUAGAGUGUUUAAAGCAGGCUUACGCUUGAAUACAUUAGCAUGGAAUAAUGAAAUAGGACGUUUGAUUCUAUUUUGUUGGUCUCUAGGAUUGACGUAAUGAUUAAUAGGGAUAGUUGGGGGCAUUAGUAUUCAAUUGUCAGAGGUGAAAUUCUUGGAUUUAUUGAAGACUAACUACUGCGAAAGCAUUUGCCAAGGAUGUUUUCAUUAAUCAAGAACGAAAGUUAGGGGAUCGAAGACGAUCAGAUACCGUCGUAGUCUUAACCAUAAACUAUGCCGACUAGGGAUCGGAUGAUGUUAAUUUUUUAAUGACUCAUUCGGCGCCUUACG